GACGAACGCUGGCGGCGUGCCUAACACAUGCAAGUCGAGCGGAGCCAUCCGAAUGAUUCCUUCGGGAUGAAUUCGGGGAAGCUUAGCGGCGGACGGGUGAGUAACGCGUGAGUAACCUGCCCAUAAGAGGGGAAUAACACACCGAAAGGUGUGCUAAUACCGCAUGAUGUAUUUUUACCGCAUGAUAGAAAUACCAAAGAUUUUAUCGCUUAUGGAUGGACUCGCGUCUGAUUAGAUAGUUGGUGGGGUAACGGCCUACCAAGUCGACGAUCAGUAGCCGAACUGAGAGGUUGAUCGGCCACAUUGGGACUGAGACACGGCCCAG
rnacentral:rRNA from 1 species